AUAGAGUAUAUCAUCUAUGAAUUUCAUUUCAGAAUGGCAAAGAAUGUGUAAUAAAAUAGUAUAUAAAGGAGAUACUGGGUCUGAAGGGUUGGGAUCCACGGAUUUAGAGAAACAGCGGCAGUUUCCUCUGAAACAUUUUCAAACGCUUCUAUAAAAUCCUGACGAUGCCAAAUAUAGGCUGACCUUUGCUCAGUGGUGUUGCUAGUAAAUAUUUAACAACUGGCUCUCUGGGUGGGAGGUAGGAGAAGCCCUGAUUUGCAGUGUUUGCUGAUUUCCAUGGUGUAAAUACUCUGAUCAUAGCCAAUUUCAAGAAUCAUGUAACAUUUCAUCACCGGACAUAGAGUUGGGUAGAGAUACCAAAAAUUAGAUCCUGUGAACUUUUGCAGGUUAAAGCAGGAUAUUUCUGAGCCUAGCCAUCAUUUUGGGUUUUCGCUGUAUCUCCCCAUCCCAUUUUUUCAUCUGAAGGUCUUCCGGCAAAACUAGUGAGGCUCCUGAGCGCGUGACUCAGGAGUGACAAUCGCUAACAGAUGCAUUUGUACCCGGGCAGAACUGGCCUCUAAUUGUUGCUUGUAGGAGAAAAGGCAAAGCGACUGUAGCACCGCCGUUCUCUGUUGCUGGCAGAUAACAACCUCGAGAUGAAGCCACAUUUGCAGGGGAAAAAUUGCUUACGCCCACAGAAUGAAAUUUCAGGCUUUGACAGCUGCUAGGUUGGCCAGAGGUUGACUGAUAUAGACCAGGGAGCUCUGCUUCAAGUGGCAGAUCUGGCUGAAAAGUUCUUUGAAAGAAGGCUGGACUUCCUGGGGAAUGGAAAGUACGCAGACUGCUGAGAGAAACCGCGAUUCACUGCUGCUGAAUGUAUCACACAUCAGCCCACCUCCUGCCACUGCAACUCCGCACAGAGAACAGAACAGUCUCGCAGAGAAAGGAACAGUCUCAGGAGGAACCCAUUCAGCACCCGACUAAAAAAUGAUCUCAUAGGGGCGCCUGGGUGGCUCGGUCGGUUGAGCGUCCGACUUCGGCUCAGGUCAUGAUCUCACGGUCCGUGAGUUCGAGCCC